rnacentral:lncRNA from 1 species
CCGGCCCCUUCCCUCUCGGAUGGGGGCCCUGGGGGUGACGUACACACCCCAUCCUUCCCGCACCGCCUCCGCCCGCCGCCCGUCGCCCGCCAUAGUUGUUGACGUAGCUUUAGUCGAUCGCGAAGAUGGCUUUAUGGACCCUAGGUUCUCCUGCCGGUGGUGGCGAUGGCUUCUCGGGGGUGUUAGGCGGUGGCCGCUGUGGUCAGGGAGGCAGUUGCGAGUCGCUGGGGCCGCCGCCUGCGUCGUCGCUGCUGUGUAGCAAACCUGCCUCUGGGCCCAUGGUGUGUCUUGAGGGCUGUGAGAGAGGCAGUGCCUGAGCUGGGUCAGCUGCUGUGGAUCGCUCCCGCCUCCUGGCUGGAGGCACCAAAGAGGAGGAGAAGGGGGAGGAGGACGUCUCUGCCAUCGCCCUUAAGUAAAGGAGGGGUGGGGGCGAUAGAAGGGUGGCAGGGCAACUUGCCUGUCCUAAGUCUAGCCGCUCGUGGCAAGUGUUGACUGCGUGUAGGAGACUCCCGUCCUAUCUCCCAGUACCAAGUCUCGGGGAAAACGAGUGCGACGAGGGUGGAGAAGACCAAGUUUCGCUUCUCGGCCCCAGGCUGUUGCGCAGUUUCCCUGGAAUCUUUUUGAUCGACUGCUACGUUGACCAUGUCCUUCCCAGUGUCCUUAGCAGGAGUGAUGGCCAGAGAGAUAACUUUUGCACAUGCCAUGUUUUCGUGGCAAAAAUUUUAGUUUCAAGUACCUUAUGAGGGCGGUUACCUAGUUUUAAAUUUUGUCACUUGUUGAGGGUGUACAAAAUCCUAUCUAGAGUCAUACUCGUUGGAUGUAUUUUCUUUUCCGAAAUGUACCCAUAGGACACAUAACCUUAUUCCUGGUCUUUAAUAUUUCUCGGUUUUAUACCAAGCAGCAGUGUUCGGAAGACCAUGUUAGUGCUACAUUGUGCACAGUGAGAAAUGAACAAGUUUUUAAAUUAAAGACAGCACUGUAAUUUUAA